rnacentral:rRNA from 1 species
GACGAACGCUGGCGGCGUGCCUAAUACAUGCAAGUUGAGCGCUGAAGGUUGGUCCUUGUACCAACUGGAUGAGCAGCGAACGGGUGAGUAACGCGUGGUGAAUCUGCCUUUGAGCGGGGGACAACAUUUGGAAACGAAUGCUAAUACCGCAUAAAAACUUUAAACACAAGUUUUAAGUUUGAAAGAUGCAAUUGCAUCACUCAAAGAUGAUCCCGCGUUGUAUUAGCUAGUUGGUGAGGUAAAGGCUCACCAAGGCGAUGAUACAUAGCCGACCUGAGAGGGUGGUCGGCCACAUUGGGACUGAGAAACGGCCCAAACUCCUACGGGAAGCAGCAGUAGGGGAUCUUCGGCAAUGGACGAAAGGCUGACCGAGCAACGCCGCGUGAGUGAAGGAGGGUUUCGGAUCGGAAAACUCUGUUGGUAGAGAAGAACGUUGGUGAGAGGGGAAAGCUCAUCAAGUGACGGUAACUACCCAGAAAGGGACGGCUAACUACGUG